rnacentral:rRNA from 1 species
UACAGGGGGGGCAAGCGUUGUUCGGAAUUACUGGGCGUAAAGGGCUCGUAGGCGGCCAACUAAGUCACACGUGAAAUCCCCAGGCUUAACCUGGGAACUGCGUGUGAUACUGGAUGGCUUGAAUUCGGGAGAGGGAUGCAGAAUUCCAGGUGUAGCGGUGAAAUGCGUAGAUAUCUGGAGGAAUACCGGUGGCGAAGGCGGCAUCUUGGACCGACAUUGACGCUGAGGAGCGAAAGCUAGGGGAGCAAACGGG